UACAGAGGUCUCAAGCGUUGUUCGGAUUCAUUGGGCGUAAAGGGUGUGUAGGUGGCGCGCUAAGUCGGGUGUGAAAUUUCGGAGCUUAACUCCGAAACUGCAUUCGAUACUGGCGUGCUUGAGGACUGGAGAGGAGACUGGAAUUUGACGGUGUAGCGGUGAAAUGCGUAGAUAUCGAGAGGAACACCUGCGGCGAAGGCGGGUUGCUGGGCUGAUACUGACGCUGAGGCGCGAAAGCCAGGGGAGCGAACGGG
rnacentral:rRNA from 1 species